CUUACAGGUUGGGGUAUCUACAUUUGUAUACAGGAGACCCUUCUAGAUGUGGGACUGAGCAGAAUUCUGAGAAGUCAGAGAAUUCUAGAUUCCAGCUUGACCUUCCAGGUUGUUAUAAAGGUAUACAUGUGUCAAGGUAGAAGGGAGAACAUUUUAAGUUUAGCCGUUGAUGCAUAACUUCCAUAUGAAAACACCUGGUAUAGGGCCUCCAUGUGUAUUACUGUCCUGGGCCCAUGCUCAUUACUAGAAGUUUGAAUUCACUUCCUUUGAGCCAGGCAGACCUCUUGCUUUCCUCAUUAUUUGUACCUGUCUUCCUAUUUCCCUGUCCUCUGUCUUCCUAAAUAUGCAUAUCUGAGCCUUAUUAGGAUAUAUAGCCAGGAUUGGUAGAGAUUUAGGGGGCUCCCUUUCCUCUCUCCCUUAAACCAUUUCCCCCACCUCAGGACAUGUGGGACAGAUGAUAGGCAGGGGCCAAGGGUCCUCUCUGGUCAAUGGCUGGCCUCCUUUUUUACCUCUUAAGAGGUUUGAAGAUAGUGGUAUCUGUGUAACUUCAUGGUAAGAAGAUAGAGCUCCGUUCUCCCACCAUGGUAACCCUAAGGCAAGGAAAGGGAGAACCAGGCAGGAGUCCCCAAACCCCAGUGUGGUAUAAGCUGACAUUUAGGAAGAACACAGACAACUGUCUCCGCUGACUGAAGGCCAAACAGAUACCCAUGGGCCAGGGAGUGCCUUGAAGACAGGGUGGAUGUCACUCACGUCUGUGUCCCUGGUGUGCGGUCCUGGCCUGUUUCCCUCAGGGCCAUUCUCUCCUCCCCUCUGUGGUGCUGCCGCUCUGCAUCACGGCAGGCUGACCCCCAAACUCCCAGGUCCGCUGGCUUCAGGUGGGAGAUGAGAGGAGCUGGGGAAAGAAGCCGGAACGUGUCUUCACACUCCACCGUCUCUGGCAGUAGCUGUGUUUCUGUGACUGGAGCCCACACCACACAGGCCCACUGUGGUCUCACCUUCCACUGCAUGCCCUGAUCCUGGUCACUCUGCUUCCUCCCUGGUCCCUCCAGUCUACAGGUGGCACACUUUCUGCUGUUGCUGCACUCUGGGUCGCUUCGCCAUCCAGUUAGAAUUCUCAGCUCUUCCAUUCCCUGUUACACAUUCACGGUGGUUCUGUGGGCUGGCUGCACCCCCGCUCAUACCCCAGUUCCCAGCACAGUGCUUGGCACAGAGUGUAACAGAAGGUUUGAGGGGUGGGGAACCUUGAAGAACACCUCUU
rnacentral:lncRNA from 1 species